UACAGAGGUCCCGAGCGUUUGUUCGGAUUCAUUGGGCGUAAAGGGUGCGUAGGCGGCGGGGUAAGUUUGAUGUGAAAUUCCGGGGCUCAACCCUGGCAUGGCAUUGAAUACUACCUUGCUAGAGUACCGGAGAGGAAACUGGAAUUUACGGUGUAGCAGUGAAAUGCGUAGAGAUCGUAAGGAAGACCAGUGGCGAAGGCGAGUUUCUGGACGGUAACUGACGCUGAGGCACGAAGGCCAGGGGAGCAAACGGG
rnacentral:rRNA from 1 species